rnacentral:SRP_RNA from 1 species
GCUGGGCAUGGUGGCGUGCGCCUAUACUCCCAACUACUCGGGAGGCUGAGGCAGAAGAAUCGCUUGAACCCAGGGGGUGGGGUUGCAGUGAGCCGAGAUCGUGCCACUGCACUCCAGCCUGGGUGACAGAGCGAGACUCUGUCUCAA